rnacentral:SRP_RNA from 1 species
GCCAGGCAUGGUGGUGGGUGCCUGUAAUCCCAGCUACUGGGGAGGCUGAGGUGGGAGGAUCACUUGAGUCCAGGAGGUGGAGGUUGCAGUGAGCCAAGAUCAAGCCACUGCACUCCAGCCUGGGCGAGAGAGUGAGACUCCAACUCAA